rnacentral:rRNA from 1 species
GAAAGCUAGGGGAUCGAACGGGAUUAGAAACCCCGGUAGUCCUAGCCGUAAACGAUGGAUGCUAGGUGUGGGGGGUGUAGAUUCCCUCCGUGCCGCAGUUAACGCGUUAAGCAUCCCGCCUGGGGAGCACGGCCGCAAGGCUAAAACUCAAACGAAUUGACGGGGGCCCGCACAAGCAGCGGAGCGUGUGGUUUAAUUCGAUGCUACACGAAGAACCUUACCUGGGCUUGACAUACAGGUAGUAGUGAAGUGAAAGCGGAUCGAUCCUUCGGGGAGCCUGUACAGGUGCUGCAUGGCUGUCGUCAGCUCGUGCCGUGAGGUGUCGGGUUAAGUCCCGUAACGAGCGCAACCCUUGCUCUUAGUUAUACGUGUCUAAGAGGACUGCCGGCGGUAAGCCGGAGGAAGGUGGGGAUGACGUCAAGUCAGCAUGGCCUUUAUGUCCAGGGCUACACACACGCUACAAUGGCCGGUACAAUGGGUAGCUAAACCGCGAGGUGGAGCCAAUCCUGUAAAGCCGGUCUCAGUUCGAAUUGCAGGCUGCAACUCGCCUGCAUGAAGUCGGAGUUGCUAGUAAUCGCAGGUCAGCAAUACUGCGGUGAAUACGUUCCCGGGCAUUGUACACACCGCCCGUCACGUCAUGGAAGCUGACAACACCUGAAGCCGGUGAGCUAACCCGAAAGGGGGGCAACUGUCGAAGGUGAGGCUGGUGACUGGGACGAAGUC